GCUGGAUGAAGGUGGGAGAUGUGGGACAUCGGACAGAGCACGAUGAAAAGGCGACUGCACAUAUCCGCCAUGUUGUUUCUUCUACUACUGACCCUCCAAGCUUUAUUUGUUUCAUGCCAAGGACAGUUCAACUUGCAUAUGCUGAGACAACAUAUGAGCUCGGGGCGUACAUUUCCUCAACAAAUAUUGAAUAACAGAUUUCAAAAUUUUAACCCCCAACAACUCCACGGACAAAAUCGACCGAACCAUGUCCAACAGCGAUUUCAGCUGCCGAACAUGGCUGCCAACAAUACACCAAGACUUCCUAUGCAACCAACUUUUCCUGGAUCAUCCGCGCAAGUGGUGCCACAGAUUAACAGAUCUUGGCAACAAAUCCAGCCUCCAAGCGUCCAAAACACUCAAAUACAGCAGCCUUCCCAAAGCAGCCCGACUGUACCAAAUGCAGGACCAAAUCCUCUCGCUGAUCCUAAUAUCGUACAGAGGCAAAUUCACGAGUUCAAUAGGCUUCAAGUCAUGUUGCGGCAUAUUCAACAACAGAGACAAAGACAGCAGCAACAGCAGCAGCAACAACAACAGCAACAACAAAGACGACAGCAACUGCUUCAACAAAUCCAGGCGAUCCAAAGAGCAAGGGCCCAGGGAGUCAAUCCACAGAAUACGGGAUCAGGACACGCUUCUAAAAUUUCCCAGAUGGAAAAAAUGAUAAGAGACAUGAUCAAAUACAGAGACCAGUUAAAAAAAGAAGCAGCUUUCCGACAAAAGACGAGGCAGGUUGAGGCAACUAAUGCGUUACAAAGGGAAGAUGUUAGGGCUGGUCCAUCUAUAUUGGUCAUGGACAAAGAAAUGGUUACUGAAAUCCCUGUAGUGACGACAAAGAAACCGAAUGGAAGUCAGGGACAGAGUAUGAUUGUUUUUGCAAAAACUGCCAAUAUCCACUCAAACGUGGAAUCACAAACAAAUAACGCAGCGGAACAAAAACAGCCGGAGCCUGCAAGACAACCAACUUCUACAACAUCAAAUCCAUUGGUAUUACAAAAUCAAGGCCAACAGCAACAACAACAAUUUGUAAUGCAGCAUCAACCUAAUAGUAUGCCUCAACUUCAUUUACCGCCUCUACAAACUGUUCAAGUACCCCAGAUCCCUACAGAAGUCGUGAGUGCAACGUUUGGACAUAAUUCUCAGAAAAUCCGUCAUGUCAUGCCUUCCCAAAGUCUACCUCCAGCCCCAAGUCACCAUCCAACCAAUAUGAACAACAAUCAUCAAAUUGUACCUCAUAAAAAUGUUAAUCCAGGUCAUCCUCACCAAAAUAGAAACGCAGCACAUAUCAACAACCGUACAGUAAACAGCAACCAUGGUCAACAACAUCAACAAAUUCAACCAAACGGCAACCAGGGUAGAGUACCACUUCCAAAUAGACCACCUCAAAUUCAGUUACCUCCUCUAGGGAAUGUGCAACAACAACCUCCUAUUGAGCAAAGAACUCCACCACCUCUUGUUCAGUUACCAACACUGAAUUUACUGUCAGUGAAAAACCAACAACCAAGGAUUCACACUGGCCCACGACCUUCCUCUGCAGGAUCAAGCCUUGAACAAGUUCAUGUAGGACAUCACACAUCUGGAAGCCAAAUGCCGUCUCAUCAAAACAACCAUAUCCAUUCAGUUAUAAGCACGGAGCCACCUAGAAAAUUGAACCUAGAACGACAUCAGUUUCAACACACAACAACUUCAACAACUACUCCACUUCCAGUUCAUUUCCAAAAACCAAUUUUUAAAAGACAAUUCAUGAAACGUCCUCCGAGACCAAGACCAGUAGCUACGACCACUACAGUAGCGACAACAACAACAAAAUCUACAACAACCCCAGUGCCUUUUUUCCAUCAUCAGAAUCCGUUACCGUAUAAUCCUAACUCCCAUGUUCAGUCAGGAGCAAUGAGACAAGAAGUACGAACUGUCCCGCCAGUCGUUACUCCACCACCACAACAAUACAUUCCAACGACUCUUCCAAAUACAACACCAAAACCCUCUCUUAAUGACUAUUUCAACAGGAUGUCUAGGCCAAGACCACAGAAAGUUAGAAUCAGUUUUAGAAAACAGAAUUCACUUGCUGGAAGUGCAGAUAUUCCUGUUCAGCAAGUAACAACCCCCGCACCUAUUCCAACACAGCCCACAGUGAUUCCAUUUGUUCCAACGUCACCCAGGUACCAGCCAGAACCAACAACACAGCCUCCAAUUGUACCAACACGGCCAACCUAUCAACCUGCACCGCAAGGCAUUCCAGUGUAUCAACAACCAGUAGAACAUGUUCCAAAUCUUCUUCCCCCUCCUCCUCCGCUGCCAACAGUACAGCAAGUGCAAAAUUACCAGACGAAUUAUAAUCAUCACCCUCUACCUGCACGGCUUCAUGUAUCAACAGAACCGAGUAUUCAAUAUUACACAACUACAAGUACCGCUCCACAUCAUCAGAGAAUAAAUCAUCACGGUGGACAAACAAUGCCUCCUCUACAUCCGAUUCCCAACUUUAACAAGAAUCAGAAUGCACAGCCUAAUGCCAAUAGAUAUGUUCAACCAGCAACGACUACUCAAGCUACCACACUUCAUUUAAGCCACUUGCAGAAAUGGGAGGCUGAAAUGAAAAUUAAUACACGUCAAUCAAAUUCACAAUCUAGUCAAGGCAACAAAGGUGUUCCUAUACAUCACGGAGUGACAACAACAACAACUACAGAAAGACCUCGUUUUAAUCAUCCUACCCCACAACGCACAGACAACCCACUUGCAAAGUUAUUAAAGCUGUUACAACGGAAAAGGUCAUCCAUUAAGUUUGCAACAGAUCGGCAGAACCAUCAACGCAAUUCAGGAAAUGAACAACGAAACAUGCCAGUAACAACCACUGAAAGACCUUUAGAGCACAGAUCAUUCCAACAUACACAACGCAAUAGACAGUUAAAAAGAAAUAAUUUUGGACAAGUGCCAAGACCAACACAGACUCCUCAAACAAGCCCAUGGUCUAGCAAUAGACUCCCGACAGCUGAUCCGACCGCUUCAACAAAUAUGCAGACAGCUAGGAAUAAUUUCCGGCGCUUUGAUGUUUCACCUUUCUCUACAAGACUCCCGGUGAAUAACCGUAAUUCUCGUAUACAUCCAACAAGUAUCCCUUCAAUCCAAAGAGCGGCUAACUCAAAUAGGCAUAGGCAACCGCCUGCUUUAACAAACACAAGAAAUAGAAAUAUUCCACAAAGACGACAGCCAAUUGGAAACGCCGCCAAAGAAGUGAAUCAAAGAAAGAAAACUAACACCAAACCAGCUGGUCCUGUAAAUCCUGCUCAACUUUUGAUUGCGGCACUAAUACAAGCUCUUCAGAGUGGAAAUUUAUUGAAACAGCUUCAAAAACACCAACAAAGCCAACAACAGUCGUCGAUGCAUCAACCAAUCCAUGAACAUCAACCACUUGAGGAAAAUCACUUCCAACAACCACCUCCUCCCCACAAUCAGCCAGUUGAACAACAGCAAGAACUUACGUUAAAUAUAAAAGAACAAAACCAAGUUGAUGUGCCGUAUCACCAUACGCAAGAAAACCAUGUACAGCAACAUGCAUUCCAGCCACACACUGAGAGACAUCAACACUUUGGAAAUGGAAACCAAAACAGUAAUCACCACGAAAUUAUACGAUAUAAUACAAAGCCACAAAAGAAGGCGCCAAAAGAUAUGCCUGAUCUGAGUAUGUUACAGGAUCAGGAUGUUCAGUUCACUGAUGUGAACACAGGCUUUGGCGGAGAGUCCCCACCUCCGGUCAUUAUUCAAAGAAUACCUAAAAAUUCACGAUCAAGGUCUAACGGUAAUUCAAACAGUGUUUCGUAUGAAUUCCCAACAAUGGCUCUUCAUGAGAACAGCGCAGUUGUUAUAGAUACAUCAAACGGAGAUAGUGAUGAUACAAAUUCAACAUCCGAUAAAAUAAGUUCAAAUUUUACUGAUGAUGAUGAAGUCGCUCUUCCUAAACUUUCCACCAUAUUUGCAAGUAAAACGACUGCGAAAGCAGUAGUGUAUUCAACAACUACCAUUCCAACCACAAAUACCAACAAGAUCGAUCUUUCAAAAUCAGAUUCCGAUAUGAAGGAAGACAUAAAUGAAGUAAAAGGUAGUGAAAAGAUUGACACUGUAUUGGUAGAUGAUUAUAAGAAUGGAAAAGUUGACAAGCAAAAAAAUUUGGUAUUGCCAAGUUUCUCGCCAUUCAACCUAGAUUAUGAAUCAACUGACCUUAGUACACCCCCACCACUUUUCGAAAUAAAGAAAUCUAUUCCGUCGCCCAGUACAAUCGAUGACAAUGAAUCACGUAAGAAGAAUGAUAGAGAUGAUAUGACAACGACUACCGGUCCGUCAACGUAUUCCACAACGACGACGUCAAAACCUUCAACGAUCAAACUCGAAAUGUCAACAAUGUCAACACCUUCAACAAGUUCGCCGGCGACAACAACUGAUUUAAGAACCAAAGAAACUGAAUCAACAAAAAGUAACAAUCAAGAAAUUCUUAAGUCUAAUAACCCUGAAGGAGAGGAGAUAAAUCAAAACUUACAGACAUCUACGACAUCUUCGACUACCACUGCAAAUGUUCAAACAGUUCCGACAACAACCACUACACAAUCAACCAGUAUUCCUAUAACAUCACCAAAAUCAACAUCCUCUACCUCUAAACCUAUAAAGUCAACUACUCUCGGUGUGAUUUCAUCGAUAACAGAGGCACCUGUUACAACAAAGUCGAACACACCAACUCCAACGACAACUUUGGAAGCAAUGACAACAAAGCCAUUUGAAAUAUCAACAAAACCCACAACCCUUUCUGGAACAAAGAUUGAAUCUACAACUUGGCCAAUUCCUGAUUUGCAAAUACAACAAGAAGAUGCUCAAAAACCUUUCAGUUUGGUGUCGUUACACGUAAAAGCUUCAAAAUCGAAUUUAGAAAGAAAUGACGAAAACGAAUACAAUGCAAAACUUUCGAUCACAACAACCACAACAUCUAAGCCUACAACAAGACCUGUUAUCCAAACCACACCAGCUCCAGUUAAGACAACUACUGAAAAUAGAGCAUUUGAUAACAUAAAUACAAUGCCUUUUUUCUUCACAACUGUCGACUACCGUGAAUUGUAUCCUGAAUUGUUUGGUUUAAGGCCGCUCAUGGUUGAACCUGUCGAAACCACAACUGCACCUCGCCAGACAACAACUACACCGCAAAGAACAACAACUACCUUCUCUACUACAACUACACCAACGACCACUACCUUAAGAACAACAACAGUGAAACCAUUGGUGACCGAAACAACAACUUUGAGUACAACUUCAACAACAGGAAAACCAAUAACUACGACAACUACAACAAAGAAACCAAUAACGACAACAACCACAACAACAAAACCAAUAACGACAACAACACCGUUACCAGUUACUCUUCCAAAAUGGAUCAGAGAAACAACACAGUAUACAACGGAUAUGUCACCAUUUACGUUUCCAACAACAAUUGACUACAGAGAUAUAUUUGCGGAAAUGUUUGGAAGAAAACCAGUACCAAGCAUCUAUGGAACACAAGAGGCCGCGCUGGAGAAAUUGAUGAUUCCCGAUACAACAAAGCCUAUCGUUGCCACAACUCCACAACCAGCUGUCCAGAGAACUGCCUUUGUUGGAAUGUCUCUAGAGAACUCCAGGCAUCACAGACCAGGACAAAACAUUUCACCAACCGUUUUGACCCAUGGGUCUAAUAAUGUCGAAAUUGGGAUACCAAAAGGACCUCAAUUUACCAAAACCGUCGUGGAAUCUCCUCAGUUAAUAGUUUCCAGUAAUCUGAAUGGUGGCCAUAAACUAGCACCACCAUCUUUUCAUUCAACAACACCCCGUAGUAUUAGAGUGUUAGGUCGGGAUAUCGUCGUGAAAACGACAGCUCAAAGUUUUACGGCGAACCACAUCUCAGAAACAACACAAGUGAUAAACCAACCUGUAAACCAUAUUACAGAUUUCGUCCAAGAUACCAAGGCAGGGUCCUUGUCCCAACAAAGUGUUAUUCGGGAACAACAGAAUACCAAUAGUAAUUUUAACAACGAUAUUUCACAAAAUGCCGGGUCGCAAGGGCAACAUUUCGAUGUUGUUGAUAUUCCGUAUGAUCCCCGUUCUGACCGUGCGGCUACUUUGCUUUCGGGAAACAAUCUUCCUCAGCAAUACGGGGAAGAACCGAAAGUAGCAAGCACCAACCUUCCAACAAUUCAACAGGAGCAACAGAAUUCGGCGUUUGCUGAGCCUGAAAACAUCAUUGAUUUAAACGCGUUUAGUACAGGAUCCCUUUCAGCAAACCCGAAUGGUGGCGGUGUUCCAUCACCUUCCAAUGCACAAAGCGGUGUCGUCGAUGUUUCUACCCAACUUGAUUCGCUCCUGAGUGCUUUGGGAAGUGACAUCAUGAUCCACGAGCAAAAGAGCAAUGAUGGACACGUCCAGUAUAAAAUACAUGGCGGGCAUAAGGACCUUCCAGCUUUCGUUCUCAGAACUGGCUACAAAUGGGCCGAAACAUUUGGAUAA
rnacentral:sRNA from 1 species